AGUUAAAAAAAAUAGACUAUGUUUAUAUCUACACCUGUCAUCUUUAGACUUCAAUAAUGAAUGAAACAUUAGCAUAAUGCUUCAGAUAAUCAAACUUCUUAAAUAUGUAAAACUUUCUGUUUCAGACCACUAUAAUAUAUCCAGUGACCUUUUUUUUUCUUUCUUUCUUUUUUCAAAUACACUGUGGGAUUAAUGCUUCAUAAUUUCAUGGAUAUGUUUAAAAUCAUAUUCAUGUUACAUUUUGACUUCAUGGUGCAAAAAGUCCAAAAACAACAAUUUGCCCUUAGCCAUUUCUUUCUCUCCAGAAUGAAAACCCGUCAUGAAUAAUGUCCUCAAGAUGGUCAACAAUAUUUUCUAUUCAUUUGAAUGUCUACAUCACCCAGGAAAAUAAACAAGAAAAUGUUUAUCCUGCUGGUCAGUCUAUCAUUUGUGAAUAUGAGACAAUUGUAAAAAUGGCAAGAUAUAAUGCCAAUAUUUUUGAUUUUCAUUAUGUUUUAAAAAUAAACAUUUUAUCUGCUUUAUUGUUGCUAUAUUAAGUCAUCAGUGCAUUUUCAGCAGAGAUGGAAAUUUACCUUCUCUUUAAACAACUGCAUUUCUGUAAGUGCAACCAUGAAACUUUAUUUAUUGCAUUUUAUUGAUAUAUAUUUAAGUCAAAAUUUUAGACUGAAUAAACAGGAACAAAUUGAUUUCAUAAGCUUAAUGUUCAGACACUAUUAUAUAACCCCACUCUAAUAUUACACACUUCUUCUUGUUAUUUUCUCUCAUAACGUGCUUAAAUGAAAGAAUUGUACCUCUAGAUGUCAGGUUAUGUGACAUAUUAUCCAGUUUAAACCAUGUCUGGGAUCUCACAAAUAUGCAUUUAAGGAAUAUGUCAUGAUAAAAUAAUUGUCUAACAUAAUAAUUGUGUGAUUAUAAUUAUUAAGAGAAGAAGAAAUGCUCUUAUGGGGGGGGGGGGGGGGGCAAACUUUGUGAUGUUAUCAUUAGUCAUUUUUGGUGAGCUUGUGAUUCUUAUUUGGGGUUCAUCAGCAGAAAAAGGUUUCUACAGAUGCAUCAAUGGGGAAAAAAAAAGCUUCAAAAUAGGUUCAAAUUAUCAUGAUGAUACUUCUUUCUGUUGCCUGACAUUACCACUGUGAGCUAGCCUUGCUAAUAGUAUGGUGCUAAUAUGUGAGACAUUCUCACCUGCCCCUCCCUUCCUUCUAGCAGACAGUAAAACCAUGUGGCAGAAUUACUAAAGAAUAGUGAAAGAUGUGUCCAGACUGAUCUGUUCAGCGCUCCAUAUCUGUGCAAAGGAUAACCUAGGGGAGGGGUGUGUGUGUGCGUGUGUGAUUGUGGGCUGAGUGUUUCAGCCCUAAUCUCCCGGGCCAUGAUGAAGAAAAGGCCAGUGCUGUGUGGCUUUAUGCUGCUGAGAGUAAGAGAAUCUCCCAUGCUUGGUAAGCACGUGUAUCAGGCCAUCUCACGGCCCACUGGACGCUCCGUGGGUGGCCCAAACUCCCCUCCACUCUCCACUGACCCAGGCCCGCGGAGGAUAAUCUCUCCUGCUCCAUGUUUUCAGGCCAGAGCCACGCUCCUGGGUCAGGAUGUGUUAGCGAGACACAGGUUGAGAGUGGAUGUGGGGGGGUUUGGACACAAGGGGCAGGUUUGAGUGUGAGCAUUGGAGUGUGUGCUGCAGGGCACCGAGGCAGCUUCUGUAGAGGAAACACCGUAGAAAGCACGAUUGCCACUGAAACAGGUCAGAAGGGGGUGUGUGUGUGUGUGUGUGUGUGUGUGUGUGUGUGUGUGUGUGUGUGUGUGUGUAUGUGUGUGUGUAUCUUCAUGUCCAGCUACUUUGUACAAAUGUGUCAGCUUGAGAACUCUUUAUUUAAAAAACAUUACACUUGGUGCACAUCAGUCCUUUAGUGCAUUAUGAUUUUCUUUUAUACGAUUCAUCUAUACACAAAACGUCAUCAAACCUACAUAGGUUUAUGCAUAAAUAUAUAUUUUCUAAUUCGUAAAAAUUUCAAACAGGACAAAACAUUUCACAUAAAAUAAAACAUUUUAAAAUCUCCUUUAAAAAUGCACUGAAAUCUUAAUAAUGUCUUUUGAAUGCAUUUGUAUAUUAAUGAGCCUGUAAUGUUAUGCAGAAACAGACACAAACAUCAAAAUCAUUAAUUAAGCAAAAUACACUACAAGUCAAAAGUUUCAAGACACUUGACUUAAAUGUUUCUCAUGAGCUUACAAACCUUUUGAUCGGAAGGUAUGAUUAAAUGUUUGAAAUCGGUGUUGUAGACAACAUUAUAAUUGUGCCAACAUAUUAAUUUCUUUCAUUAGAAAACUAACAUUUUAUUUACAAAUUAUAUUUUGUUUAAAUGGAUGACUUGGAGCGAAAUAUUCCGGAAAGCAGCCAAUAAGUGUCCAGCGUAGGUGUGAACUCCUUUAAUACUGGUUAAAACGCAUCUCUGGGAAAUUCCUCAAGAAAUCGGUUGAGAAAAUGCCAAGAAUACAUUUCUGGAGAUUCUAGGCAAAAAGGGCAUCUUUAAAGAUGCUCAAAUAUUAAAUUAUUUGUAUUUAUUCUAUUUUUAUCACAACAUAAUUCCCAUAGUUCCUAUUUGUGUUACUCCAGAGUUUUGAUGACUUUAUUAUUAUUUUAAAAUGUGGAAAAAUUCAAAUUAAAAUAAAGAAUGAGUGUGUCUAAACUUUUCAUCGGUAGUGUAUAUUAAUUUGUUUACCCAUGGAAAUAAACAUUUAUUUAUGUAUCCCCGUCAAUAAUAAUGAGAAACAGUUUUAUAUUGUAUUGGACAAACGUAAGUUAAAAAACACACACAACACAGAAAAAAUUCAGGUUUCACUUUUAUUGUUCAUUCAUUCUGCAUAAUUCAUUUAUUAUUACAGUAUUCAUACAAUAGUAUACAGCUUCAAGAAAUAUCAGAGAUUAUGCUAUAAUUAACGUAUGGCUAUAAGGAUAUCAUGCUUUGUACGAGCAGGUUGUGCUUUUUCGUCUUGUAUGUUUGUUCUUAAAAAUGCAAAUAUGCCUGCAAAUGAUAUCGUCAUCUGUAGCUGUAUAGUACUCUAUUAAGUGUAUAAAUGUUUCAGAUUUCCAUAGUGUGCUAUACAUCAUACAGGUUAGAUACAAUCAAAACCAUACCAAUGGGAAAAAUGUACUUGUUGCAACUGAAAAAAAUGUUACAAUAUAGUAAAAAAAAAAAAAAAAGAGCGAAAAACAUUUUUUAGAUGAGAAACCUGCAACCCAAAGUUUAUUUUUAUACUCUAGGUGCCAAUAAACAAACAAACAAACAAACAGAAAAGUUUAUAUGAAUGCAGUAUCACAGCAUUUUUUUUAUUUAUGCUGUUAAAUUAUGAUCAGAAACUUACCUUAUUGAAAUACUCACCAGUAUUAAAGGGGCAAAAGCUAAAUUCUUUAAGCAGUCAUUGACAGUAAAAUAUCAUUGACGUCAUGGUUUUCAUCCUGCACUGGGUCAGGGCUACAGAUCUGAAACACACCAUCCAGGGAGCGGCUCUGAACAACACUCAUAACUCCUGAAAAGACAAAAUUAAAACAUACAAUAUGUGUCGUUGUAAAACACUGUCUAUAUACAUCAGCAAAUACAUGCAUAUUUAUGUAUAUAUAAGAUCUAUAUUAGUAUUGAUGAAUUCUCAAAUCUGAUUUGUCACAAGCUGUUGAUAAAAUUUUUUAUAACAGUACCUCUGACAGUACUUCCAGCUAUAAUGUUUAUAUUAAUAUGCUUGUUCUAACAUGUUAUUGUUUCUAUCGUAAUAACAUGUUACUAUACACCUAAUGUCUAGUUCUUCAAUAAAUAUUUUUUAGUAUUAGCAAAUUUUGAUAUGGUAUAAGAUGAAUAAAACAUGUCAUGCUGUUAAUCAUGUUUGGGGAGUCCACUGUUGAUUAACAUCCUAUAAUAGCACACUCUGAAGUGUUUUAUUCUUUACAUAUAUUACUAUAUCGACAUACAACUAAUAAUAAUACUGUAUAUGUUGCAAUACACUGCAUGUGCGCGUAUAAAACAAUGAAUAUCAAUAUCCAUUGUGUAACUCGAAUAGGUUAAGGUUAGGUGACGGCGUGUUUUUUCAUUAUCCAAAGCAUUCUUUCCUCAUUCCUCUUUCCUAAUUUCUCUCCAUGCAUCUCUAGUACAGCUUUGAAUUGUGUUUGAGGACAUUAGAAGUAAAACAUUGCUAACAAAAUGAUUUAAAAAAAUUAGCAAGAUGCUUCCACUGAGGUAAUGAGCAAUGGGAAUAUAUAGAGAUUAUAUUAUAUUCACUGUUAUGUAUAUAUUGUAUAAUGUAUUGAAUUCUUAUUAAUAUGCUCGUGUGUGUGUGUGUGUGUGUGUGCGUGCGUGUGUGUGUGUGUGUGUGUGUGGCUCUCUCCGGUACAGUAGGCCUUGAAACCUUUUACUCCCUUAUUCGUAACUAAAUAAAACGUUUCCCUGAAGACCUUCAUAUUUUAUCUCCAUAAUAAAGGGCCUCAGGCCUUCGGUUUACUAAUCUGAGUAUCGUAUAACAUUCUGAGUUCUUGUAGGCUAUAUGAUUGCAUUCUGUUAAACAUAAUGCAAAAGAUGAAUAUUAUUAGCCUACAGAAAAAAAAACCCCGUAGAUAAAUAUAUAUAGAUAUGAAAAUGUGGGAGAUGUGAGGUGUGUAACUGCGGUGUGUAAACUCCUAAUAAUAGCCUAAAUAUUCCCAUUCACAAUCAGCCAAUGAGCAGCUCGGAAUUUACUCAUUUGUCUCGGGUCAAUCCUUUUCUCUAAAGGUUACAACAAUGUAGACUAAAAUCUAUAACUAACACUAUAAAACAUAAAACUGCAACACACUCACAAGCAGCCUUCUUGCUAUGACCACAAAAUGGUCAAUACAAUUCACAACGAAUUAGCCAACACAUGUGUGCUAAUGCUUUAAAUAAAAAAACAAUCAUAACGCAUAACAUGCUAAAUAAAAUCUUUCAGUCACAAAAUAAAAUAAUAAUAAUAAUAAUAAUAAUAAUAAUAAUAAUAAUAAUAAUAAUAA
ensembl:lncRNA